rnacentral:rRNA from 1 species
UACGUAGGCAGCGAGCGUUGUUCGGAGUUACUGGGCGUAAAGGGUGUGUAUGCGGUUGUUUAAGUUUGGUGUGAAAUCUCCCGGCUCAACUGGGAGGGUGCGCCGAAUACUGAAUGACUUGGAGUGCGGGAGAGGAGAGUGGAAUUCCUGGUGUAGCGGUGAAAUGCGUAGAUAUCAGGAGGAACACCGGUGGUGUAGACGGCUCUCUGGACCGUAACUGACGCUGAGACACGAAAGCGUGGGUAGCAAACAGG